CUCGGCUGCAUGAAGCUGGAAUCGCUAGUAAUCGCAGAUCAGAAUGCUGCGGUGAAUACGUUCCCGGGUCUUGUACACACCGCCCGUCACACCAUGGGAGUUGGAAAUGCCCGAAGUCAGUGACCGAACCGAAAGGAAGGAGCUGCCGAAGGUGGAGCCGAUGACUGGGGUGAAGUCGUAACAAGGUAAC
rnacentral:rRNA from 1 species